GAUGUCAUGAACAUGAUGUCGAUUCGGAUACAAUGCUAUGUAGAGACAUAACACAUGCAAAUGAUUUUAUUUAAAUAUUUAAUUAUUUUAAAUAAUAAUUGUGUACAGGUGAGUAUAAUGAAUACAGAUAGUAUUCUAUGAGAUGAGGUAUUAGUCAUGUACUAGCCUAUGACCUAUAGUCGGUGAUGGAAGUCAGCACGACCACAUGAGUUUCAGGCUCACGGGGCAACGCCCUGCAGCAGUGGGGAAUCAUUGACAAUGACCUAACGGUUGAUCAUGUUAUCUAUAAGAGAUAUAAUAUUAAAUUAUAUAUAUUUUUUUUAAUAUAUAUUAUAUUAUAAAUUAUUAUAUAAUCUCAGCUCUCAUAUUGAAUAAUGAUGGAUAUGAAGAGGAGUUCUGACCAAGUAAUGUGCCAGCAGUCGCGGUCAGACAUUAAGGGCGAGCAUUAAUCCGCCUUGGCCUAAAGGAUUCGUAGGUGUAAAUAAUAGAAUCUGUUUAAUAUGUAGAUGGAAAUAUUGCUCUAGAGAUCAAAUGUGAUGACAGCAGUAGUACCGCAAAGAUGAUACAGUAAACAGAUUGACACUGAGGAAUGAAAGCUAUAGUAUCGAGAUGGAUUUGAUACCCAUUUAGUUAUAGCUGUUAACUAUGUAUACUAUGAGAUUUAAUUAAAUCAUGAUCAGCGAAAGCGAUAAGUAUACCGCCAGACUAGUACGUCCGCAAGGAUGAAAUGCAAGACAUUAGACGGUUGUGUAUCAAUGCAGUGGAGUAUACUGUUUAAUUGGACGAUACCCCUUAGAUCUUACCUAUCCUUGAAUAUUUAUAUAUUAAUUUUAAUAUAUAUUUACAGGCGUUACAUUGUUGUCGUCGGUUCAUACCGAGUGGCAUAUUAUUCAGUUAAUUAAUGAACGCUAACCUCUGUUCUAGUAAUAUAAUUAUAUUUAUAUUUAAUAUAUUAUAAAGAACGAUGCACGUAUGUGAAUGCGUGGGAAGUCGAGGCAGAAGACUAAUCAGCAUGACCCUUAUGGAUAGGGCUACAGGUGUACUACAAGGAUUUCUACAAUUAUAUAUAUAAUAAUAAAUUAUAUAAUAUUUAAUAGAGAUCACCCAGACAGUGAUCAUGCAGAAUAGGACUGAUAUCUGCAAUAGAUAUCACGAAUCAGGAAUUGCCAGUAAUCGUAGACAAGAGUGCUACGGUGAAUUUGAAAUGCAUUUCGCACUAAUCACUCAUCAAUAGCUGAGAUAAGACGGCUAUGGUCAACAUCAUAGCCAUAAGUCUAUGAUUAGCUACAAGUUGAAAUACAGUUCGGGUAAGGGAACUUGCCCGGGGAGUAUUUGUAAG
rnacentral:rRNA from 1 species